CGUUGUCGUAGGCUUGUUCAUUAGGAUACGUUGAGGCUUUGCGUGGAGGAAAGUGAUGACAAUGAAGAACAAUACAUAAGUGCGUUGUCGUAGGCUUGUUCAUUAGGAUACGUUGAGGCUUUGCGUGGAGGAAAGUGAUGACAAUGAAGAACAAUUUGGAAGCAGACAGACGUGCGCUUUUCGAUCGGAUAUAGUCUAUAGUGCGUAUUCAA